AGAGUUUGAUCAUGGCUCAGAACGAACGCUGGCGGCGCGCUUAACACAUGCAAGUCGAGCGGCAGGGGCAACUCUGCAGCGGCGAACGGGUGCGUAACACGUGGGUAAUCUGCCUCGGAGUUCGGGAUAACUCGCCGAAAGGCGAGCUAAUACCGGAUGAGCCCUAACGGGGAAAGAUUUAUCGCCGAAGGAGCGGCCCGCGUCGGAUUAGCUAGUUGGUGGGGUAAUAGCCUACCAAGGCAACGAUCCGUAGCUGGUUUGAGAGAACGACCAGCCACACUGGGACUGAGACACGGCCCAGACUCCUACGGGAGGCAGCAGUGGGGAAUCUUGGACAAUGGGGGAAACCCUGAUCCAGCCAUGCCGCGUGAGUGAUGAAGGCCCUAGGGUUGUAAAACUCUUUCGGCGGGGACGAUAAUGACGGUACCCGCAGAAGAAGCUCCGGCUAACUUCGUGCCAGCAGCCGCGGUAAUACGAAGGGGGCUAGCGUUGUUCGGAAU
rnacentral:rRNA from 1 species